rnacentral:lncRNA from 1 species
GGGGAGGGAGGUGGGAGCUGUCGGAGGCCGACGGUGGCCGACUGCGGUCGUCGGAGGGCUUCCGAGCCCCGUAUCGCCCAAUAGGGCUUUCAAGAGAGCGAGAAAAAGAGAGAGAGAACGCUCGGAGGGAGAGCGAGGGACCUAUCGGACGGACGGUGCCUCCGUCAUGAGGACUUCGGUGGUCAGCGAGCCGACGCCAACGGCGUGAGGGCAGUCGAGCGAGCGAAGCCCCUCCGCGGCUCCGCCCUCUUCUUUUUCGAAACAGACGACUGUCUGUUUUGAUUUUUUAUUUUUUUUGUUUUAAACUUAUGAAGUCGGCAACCUAGUUGCGGACUUAAGGAAUUUUUUUAAAAAAAUACAAAAAUCGUGAAGCCGACAAACUAUUUGCCGACUUCGCUUAAAACUAAGUUUUUUAAAAAAAAUUACGAAACAGGGGUGACACCCCUGUUUCACGUCUGUGAUGCCGCACGCGUGAACUGCGCCCUCCGACGACCACGACGGCCAGUCGGAGGUUGUCCGACGGCCCCGCCAGCUCCUUCCCCUCUCUCUUUUUUUUUCUUCCUCUUUCUCUCUCUAUUUCUCUCUCUCUCUUUUUCUUUUGGUUCGGGUCUGCUUGUCUUCGUCGGUUCGGUACGGUACAAAACUGUAUCGAUCCAUACCGUCGGUCGGCCGAUACAGCCGGUGGUACCGGUUCAGCAUACUUUGCUUUUAAUUAAUCAAGCUUUUAUUCAUUUUCAACUUAAAAUUAAAAUCACUCAACCAUAAUUAAAUACGAUCCUUGCGGAUACAAUCUCAACUCACACUAUCUACAUAAUAGUGAGUUAAUCUUUAUUUUUGAAUGCCUACGACAACGAUCAAAUUUUGGCACCGUUGUCAGGGAUCGUGUUUUAGUUGCUUUGAGUUUAUAAAAGAAAGAAAGAAAGAAGUCGUACAUUGACACCUCAUGAACUAUUUAGGAGAUCAGAGACCUAGCUACAUAGCUACAAAACCUAACAAGUGAAGCCAACUAAUUUAAUUUUGAUUGUGUGUCAACUAACUUGGACAUCUUGAUCUUUUGCAUAACAUCUUCAUAAAACAUCUUAAGGGCAUAACCCAUUAACCAAGAUAAGGUGGGGAUUUCAUCAUCUUUCUUUGGCCCAAAAAUCACAAUCCUUCGUAUUGCAUUGAGCUAAACCUUAACUUAAAAUCAAUUAGAUGUUGAUCCCUAAGGACUCUCGAGCUCAAUAGGACAAGGAAUCCUAAGAGUUGGAUCAGAUUAGGAUUAGUCAUUUUGACCAAUGUCUAGGAAAGUGGUUCAGGGAUAAGAUCCUGAAAGAAGAUGGUUAUUUAAUUGGUUCCGUUCGCUUACCUAGCCAAUUUUAAUUGGUGUCUAAGAAAAGCAACGUAGGGACCCCCACCAGCCUUAUACUUGUCUAGCCAGUUGAGUGGCUAGUCUUUUACUUGGAUUGCUCGAAGGCGACCUUGGAAUACUUAGGAGCUGUCUAAAUCCAGGACAACCCUUAGUUAGAAUUGAUUGCAUAACUUGAUUACUAACUCACAAACAUUAAACCUAAUAAAAUUUUUUUCAUCUAUUUCUUAGAUUUAGGACUCUCUAAGUUAUCAUCUUUAGAAUUUCUUUCGUCGUUUUCUUUUAUAAAAAAAAUAAAAAAAUCCUAUAAAAAUUAAAAUUUUCUGUUUGCUCUAAGGUAUAAUUAUAGGAUUUAUACUUGGAUGCUGUUCAUUACGACCCGAGAUUUAACCCCUAGAUCCUAAAAUUGAAAGAACCCUUAGAGCCAACAGACCUAGAAACAUGGACCGAAAUUAGGAGAAUAAUCCACCCUAAGCAGUUGAAGGAGUACGUUACUCUUUCCAUAUAUACCUACUCUCUUUGCAUUCAAGUGCCUCCAGUUGAAACAGUUGAAUAUGAAAUCAAGUCUAGUGUCAUCCAAAUGCUGCCAUCUUUUUAUGGACUUGCAAACGAGGACCCAUACGAACAUCUUGAUGAAUUCCUAAAAAUCUACUCUACAGUUAAGAUCCAAAAUUUUUCUGACGAUGCUCUCAAGCUAAAAUUGUUCCCUUUUUCAUUAAAGGAUAAAGCCAAAUAUUGGCUAAACUCCUUAUAUACUAUAACAAUUUCAACUUGGGAUCAACUUCAGAGGAAAAUCCUUAAAAAAUACUUCUCAAUAGAAAAAAACUAAUCAAAUAAGAAAAGCAAUAACUAAUUUUUCCUAGUUAGAUGGGGAGAUGUUUCAUGAGACCUGGGAGAGGUUAAAAUAAUUAAUUAGGAAUUGCCCUCACCAUGUUGUACCCAAAUAGCAACUGAUCUAGUGCUUCUAUGAUGGCCUGUCAGAGAAGCACUGACAAAUGAUUGAUGCCUCCUGUAGUGGAACCUUCAUGCUAAAAAAUGAGCAUGAAGCCUGGUAGCUUUUUGAAACAUUGAGUGAAAAUUCACUGCACCACAUGUCUGCUGCCAGAAGAGAUCCUCCCAUGUUCGGACCUAAACAAAGUGGGAUUUAUGAAAUUGAUAGUUCAAUGGAUAUCCACAGUAGAGUAGAUGAAUUAUCUCAAAAAUUAGAUCGAUUACUACAAGUGGUACCCACCAGCACCCCAGCCACACCUAUGAUAGAUGUUUGUUCCAUAUGUUCGAGUCCUGCACAUAUUGUUUAUGAUUGUCCUCCUGCACCCCAAUUUCCUGAGUUUAUACAUGAACAAGUAAACCAAGUACAAACUCAGAAUAAUUAUAGACCAAGCCACAAUCCUUACUCAAACACCUAUAAUCCAAGCUGGAGAGAUUAUCCAAAUUUUUCAUGGAAACCCCAACCUAUGGUUAAUCCGACUAUUUACAGACCCAAUUUUCAGGAGUCACAAUAUCGGAGCCCAUCCUACUUUCAACACCAAAAUAUUCCUUAACCUUCUCCUAGUAACCAUAGUUCAGCCUUUGAGGAGGUCUUAAAAAUCUUAAAAAGACUAGAAGUCAACGCCCAAACCCUCCACUCCUGCACUCAAUCGAUAGUCAAGCUAGAGACCCAAAUAGGUCAAUUAGCUACAUCUUCAGUAGGAGGGAGGACGAAAAACUGCUCAGUCAACCCGAGAUUAAUUCUAAAGGUCAAUAUAGGGCUAAAAAUUUUAAUGCCCACGAAACUUUUCUCGAACAGGCCAAAUCUAUCAUGACUCUCAGGAAUGGUAAGGUCAUAGAACAACCAAGUGAAAUCAAAAAGACCAAAACCAAUGAGAAAUUGAUUGAAUCUGAACCAUCCAAAGAUAAGGAGGACCUUGAGGCAAGGGAUGAACCAACAUCGUUAGCACCACCUCAAUUACCUAAAGCUCCAUUUCCAAGUGCACUAGAAUCCCCUGCGCCAUUCAAUAAGAAGGGUAAACUAGAUGAAAUGUUAAAACUAUUUAAACAAGUCCAAAUUAAUCUUUCCCUUCUAGAUGCAAUAAAACAGGUCUUGACCUAUGCCAACUUUCUGAAAGAUUUAUGCAUAAAAAAAUGAAAAUCUCGAACGCAAAUUCCAAAAAGAAUUUUCCUUACUGAACAGGUCAGUUCAAUCUUCCAACAUGCUACCUCACCUAAACUUAAGGAUCCAAGUGUCCUUAUCAUCUCUUGUGUCAUAGGAAAUCUACAUAUUGAGAAAGCUCUAUUGGAUCCAAGGUUUAGUGUGAAACUUUUGCCUAGUUCAGUAUAUGAUCUCUUUGGAUUCGAUGAGUUAAAACCCACUUCGGUAACCUUGCAAUUAGCUGAUAGAUCCAUUAAGGCACCGCGUGGGAUGAUCGAGAAUGUUUUAGUAAGGGUAGAGGAGUUCUACUUUCCAGUUGACUUUCUGAUCUUAGAUAUGGAGCAUUCUGGCGAUCCACGAUAACUUUUCAUAAUUUUAGAACGAUCCUUCCUAGCUACAACCAAUGCAUGUAUUGAUUGUAGGAUCGGAGUCAUGGAUGUCUCAUUUGGAAAUAAAAAGCUGAGAUUAAAUGUAUUUCAUACUCCUCACGGACCUCAAACCAAUACUUGUUAUGAAGUAGAAGAGAUAAUAGAGGAAGCUACCCCUAAAAGUAUUUCUCAGGACCCAAUGUAUACAUGUUGGGAUUUUUUUGGAGUGGACGAUUUUGACCUAAAUGGGUACAUUGAAAAUGUGAACACAUUAUUAGAGCCAUCCAAUUUUAGUACCACUCUCCCAUGGGCCAAGAAAUAUAAGCCUUUACCUGCAAUACCUGCUCCGAUAGCUCUCUCUUUAGAAUCACCACCAAUCCUAGAACUGAAUCCGCCUUCGAUCACACCUGAGUACAUAGGACCAAAUAACAUGUUCCUAAUAACCGGUGCAUCGGAUCCAACUCCUAAUCCAGAAAUCCAAUUUAGGAGUAUGUUAGCAGAACAAAUAGAAGAAAUCCUUAAUAAACAAGGGACUGAGAGUAGGGUCACGAACCAUCUUCCGAAAAUGGAUAAUAAAGAAAUAAUGAAAUUUAUCAAUAAUGGGGUUGCAAGCUAUCUUUCUAAAUUUGAGUGUGAAAUACCACUGAAAUUUUUCAAUCCAGUAUUUGAUCCUGGGUAAGUGAGAGAAUCGAUAUAGUCUGGUUGAAAACUUUAAACUUAGCGCUUGUUAAGAGACAACCUAGUAUCUUAUUUUUUUAGAUUAUCCAAAUUUUUUUAUUUAGUAGAAAUUGUUAAGAGACAACCCAGUAUCUUAUUUUUUUAGAUUAUCCAAAUUUUUUUAUUUAGUAGAAAUUUAAUUAGGACGACUAGCCAAGUUGGAGGGAGCAUCCCAUCUAAGGUCCAAAUGAAGUCACGAACAAAUCACACCCAUAAAAGUAGAACCUCUCACCCAGCAAUGAACGAGCACAUGGAAUCUAGGUGGUAUCCUUCCUUGCAAUUUCUUUCUCUAUUUUAUUCUACUUUAUUAUUCUCUUCUUCUAUUGGGGACAAUGAAAAUUCAGUUGAGAGGGAGAAUAACCAACUUAAGUUUAAGUGAGUCCUUAAGUAUGAUUAAAAAUAAUUAGCUUUAUAUACCCAAAUUUUGUCUCGAUUAGAAGUUAAUUAGACACCCUAAUCAAUGAGUAAUUAACGAUCUAGAUAAUAAGGGGCAAAUUAUUAAGAACACCCAAUGAAUGUUAGGAUUUAGACCAGACCAAAUUUUAGAGUAACUCUAGAGCCCUUUUCUUACCGAUCUUAAUGAAGAAUCUGUUUCAUGGAGGUUGGAUGGAAAGGUCGAGGUAUGCAAAAGUUCUUCAAAUUUGCUUUUAAAAAAAAAAAUUAGCAUUGUCUUACUGAGUAACCAGGCCCCUUCACCUAAGUAAGCAUUAUAGUUUGCGUCAAAAAAUAAGAAUGCAAGAAAUCGAUUAUAAGAAUCAUAUUUCCUUGGACUUAAGUCAGUAAGCCCAAAGGGUGUUUGCCACCUAAUGCCCUAAAGCCAACUGGUUUGGAAGUCAUUGGCUGAAAGCUUGCUACAAGGGUAGCAAGAAAGUAAAAAAAAAGAAGAAAGAAAAAAAAAUAGUAGAUAAUAAGGGGGACUAAAUUGCAAGAAGACAAUAAACCCAGCUCAUAUUUAGUUAAAGAAUUUAAAGAGUAAAGUGAGGAGUUGAUGAAAGAAUAUCUCUAAAAAUUUUUAUGGCUAACACUCAACCACUAAUUGGAUCGAAUUAGUAAUCCGAUGAAGUACCUCUUUAAUAGUCUGACCGAGUAUCAGCUACCUUUAGGCAUGUCUAAUCUAACUUUUAAUUCAAGACCAAGUCGAUACUCACUGUUGAUUUUUUUAUUUUACUCGAAGACGAGCAAAAGCUAAAUUGAAGGAUGUGAUCGAUACAUGAAUUGAUACAUUAAAAACACUCAAAUCAUCAUCAAUUAAGUUGUACUAGUUUGAAUUUAAUGCUCUUCCUAACUUAUUUUGCAGGAAAUUAGAAAAUUGGAUUCAAUUAGCAUCAAUUUGGUCUAAUCCAGUUUGAACCCAAGUGCACCCAGGAGCCAUAAAGGAGAUCCAAGGGCUUUCAUUAAAAUACCACAACCACUGGUGGAGAUCUAGGCGCCUAAGAUGAAGAUCCAAGGCAAAAAGAAAUCAAUGGUUGAGAAAAAAAUCAGUAAAAAUCUAAAAGCCAUCAAUCCUUGGAACACUCUCACACGAAUUCAUGAAGAAAUCAAAGGCUAGGAACCAAGCUCACCAUCAUCCAAGGGUCCACAAUCAUGGUGCCAAGAGAGGAGCUUUAAUAGAAGGUAUUCAUGAAAAAACUAAAGUAUGAACACAGCUUAAAGAUUAAGGAUCCAGAUUCGAAGAUCAUCUUUCAUAUGGAUCCAAGUGUGAACGCAAAUAAUCAAUUAACGGAGAAGAACCAACCAAACAAGCAUCCAAGGGCUGACAUUGAUGGCGCCUAGCAUGGAGCUUAAAUGGAAGAAUUUAAGGGAGAAUUAAAGAAGAAUUCAAAGUCUAACAAACUUGAAAAUUCUUCAAUGAAGCAAACAUGGAAAUUCAUCAAGGAUCAAUCGAAUGGACAAGAUCUUUUGCUUCCACAUCCAAGGGUCCUUAAUCCUUGCGCCAUAACCCUUCUAACCCUAAUCCCCACAUUUAUUUAAAGCCCCUUGGCUGGCCAUAUGAGAGGAGAUAAGCUUCUCCACGUCCAAGUCCUAAGUCCCCACACGUCCACAGCUUCAAAGCCCCUCCACGCCAACUCUUUUCCACUUCAAAAUGCUAGCCGGCCCUAGGACCUUUUCCUCCUCCAAAACCCAGCCGUCCAAACCCUUACUCCUUCCCCUCAAAACCUUAGAAACCCCAAGUCCUAAGCCUGAGAAAUAUCAGCCGCCCAAGCCUCCCUUCUCACGCCUUCUUUAGCCUUUCUUCUUCUGCCAAAAAUCCAACAAGCCUACUUCCUUUUCCAUCUUCCAAACCAAUCUACCCUAAAGCCUUCUUCUCCAUAAAACCUCUCCUCCUGCUCUUGAUCCCUUUUCCAAGCCGUUGGAAGGAAGUCCUUAGAAGUCUAGGAUGAAGGGUUCAUCGAGAAGUAUCCCCAUGACUGGCUAGUCGUCACAUCUCAGGAAAUUGCUAUAACUUGUCUAGACAGUGUUCUUCCUUUUUAAUUUUUUUAUAUUACCUUUUUGAUAUGCAAUAAAGACUUAUUUUUCAUGCUUUAUAUCUUGUCUUUAUUCUAAUUUGCAUAAAUAAGAAUUUUAUUCUAGAAUAAUUUAUGAUCCUUGAGACGAGCUGUGAUCUAUAAGUACAGUUCGUGCUCUUGGGAUAAAUUAUCUUUAAGUAAAAUUUCUUCUAUCAUUGUAUCUAAACAAUUUUGACUAGCCUAUAACUUUAAGGGACGGGCCGUGAUCCAAGGAUACGGAUCGUGCUCUCUAACAUAGAUUAUAUCUUUAUUAAUUAGAUACCAAUCCAAGACAUGUUAAGAAGGAUACCAGCUGUCUAACAAGAAAGCAGCUAAGAUUUCGAAAAUCCAUCUUUAUACUUGAAACCAAAGUUUAUUUAGUUCUUUAUUUACUUGCUCUUUCGUUUCAUAGUCUUUUAAUUAAUCAAACUUUUAUUUAUUUUCAAUUUUAAAUUGAAAUCACUCAACUGCAAUUAAACACGAUCCCUGCGGAUACGAUCUCGACUCACGCUAUCUACAUAAUAGUGAGUUAAUCUUUAUUUUUGAACGCCUAUGACAGUGAUCAGUGGAGACGCCGUCGGUGGCCACCUAAGGGCUGUGCAGGCCCUCGGAAGGCCACAGUGGCCACAGCGGCUCCGCAUCGUCUGUGGGAGAAAAGGGAGAAGAGAGAGGGGGGAAGAAUUGGACCGAGGGGGGUCUAGUGGAGAGGCCACCGGAGGGCCUCCGGUUGGCCGUCAUGGCUGCGGAGCGGUGUAAACGCCACCUCCAGUUUCACGAUCAUUAAAUAGGGGAGUUUUUUAAAAAAGCUCCCUAUUUUAGGAGUUCUUUUAAAAAAGCUCGACAACAGUGAAGCUGAUAAAUCCUUCGUCGGCUUUACUGUUUUUGGGCUUUCUUAAAAGGCAUCACUGUUUCUGGACUUUUUAAAAAAAAUAUUGAAAUAGUGAAGCCAGCAAACCGAUUGCCGACUUCACUAUUUUCAAAUUUUUUUAAAAAAAUUUUUAAAAAGUGAAGUCAGCAAACCAAGUACCGGCUUCACUGUUCAUCUCUUUUUAAAAAAAAAACGACGCAUGAACAAGGGCAAUUGUCCCUGUUCCACGGCCAUAACUUGGCCUGCACUGCUUCCACUGUCCGGUACCCACGACAGCCAUCCGAAGACCUCCAACGACUCCUUCGCCGUCCUGUCCUCCUAUCUCCGGUGGCCUCCCCCUCUCUCUCUUUCUCGCUCGUUGUGGCAGCCUUAUCGGACGAACCGAGCCAUGAAGACUUUCACGGCCCUCUGAUGGCCACAGAGGGCCACAUUCGGCCUCCGAUAGCCUCUCCCUCUCCUCGCCUCUCUCUCUCCUCUCUCUCUUCCUCUGUUUUCCUCUUUCUUUUCCAGCACCGACGUGUGUCGUUUUUCCUGUCAGAACCGUCUCAGUUCCCCGUCGGUCCAGUUCGACAUACUUCGAACCGUUCAAUUUGGAAUGAUUCUGAAAAUCAUGGUCUCAACCUUCAAUUCAUUUCAAUAAAAAUAAAAAUAAAAAUAAAAUACAAGCUUUCUUGCUUGACCCUCUUUAUAUAAAACAAAAUCAACCAACAAGUUAAUAAAUUUCAAUCCUUUUGUGGCUCUUUACAAAGAAAUAAAUUUCUGAAAUUUCCAAAACAAACUUCUUGUGGACCAUUAACAGCGCACCAAUAUUGUAGCAUUAUUAUUCAUGCUAGAAUAAUGCAAAUAAUAAUCAACCCCUUAACUUUCCUAAAUUUACUCCUUCUGGACCUAAAAUUGUGGAGUUAAAGAUCUUACGAUACAAUCUUGAUGAACUACUAUUGGAUUUUAGGAAACCCUAACGGUUCUGAUCAUCAACCUAUGAUCAAAUAACAGUAAAUCAACAAACUUCAGGCUAUUGAAUGUGAUACAAUUCAAUCCCACAUCAUUCACUUCUGCCAUAUGGAUCUCAUCUCUGAGAUCUGUUUCCAAAAAAGCUUGACACCCAUUGUGUCUUACGAUUUGAUGAUGGAGGCCUACAUAAAGUUCUCUGACAAUCAAGUUGUUCAUUAGUUGUUUUGAUAUCCAUAGUUUUGCAAGCAACAAGUUGUAGAUCAUCCCAUUUGAUUGCUAUCUUCAAGGAAUCCAGCAUAUCAACAAAAAUGAAUCUUCAUAUGGCUUGAUCUUGAUCAUUGACUUUAAAUUAGUGAGUUCAUCUUGCAAUAUAUGCUCCUUGCAUUGAUUUUCAUUAUUUUGAUCUUUUGCCUUUGAGAAGUCCAAUGGAUCAUCAACUAACAAAUUCUCAAUUAACAAAUCUUUAACAGUGGUAAUGCUGUAUGAUGGAUCGUCGACCAGACUCUUCACAUGAUAAAGCAUCAAUUGUAGGCUCUUCAUACAUCGAUUCUUUGGCUUUUUCAUCUUUAAGAUUCUUGAUCUAUGGCUGAACCUCAGGGAGAUUUUCAAUGUCUAAAUCCAUUGCAAUUGCUUGCAAUAUAGCCUGCAUAGACAUCACAUCAUUGUUGAUAGAUGCCAACUUAUCGUCCAUCUGGCGAAAGAUCUCAUAUUCGACAUGCUUGUCAAAAUCAUCAAUUCUGAAACUCAGCUCCUCAAUUGAUGACAUGAUGAAAAGAGGGAAGGAAAGAGGGGACACAAAGGAGAUCAAGAGAAUGCAAGGAGGAAAAGCAGGAUCCUUUAGCUCUCAUACCAAAUUAUUGUAGGACAAGAAGAGAAUUAGAGUUAAGAUGACUGAACUUGGUCAUAAAACAAAGCAUCCAAGUCUUUUUGCUCAACCCACUUUGUCAACUCACAAACUUGACCCACAAGUUAAUGAAUUUCAAUCCUUUUGGGACUUUUAAAUAGAAACUAACCACUAAUAAAAUUUCCAAAACGACUUAUUGACCCCUAACAACCCACAAAUGUAGCAUCACUAAUCGUGCUACAGUGACAUGAACAGUAACCAACCACUUAAUUUACCUAAAUUGACUCUAUCUGGGCUUCCCAAAUUUGUGGACUUAAAGAUCUCAAGAUAUGACCUUGAUUAGCUAUUAUUGGACUUCCAACAAAUCUUGAUGAUUUCAAUCUAAAGCCUACAAUUAAAGACCUUUAAAUCAGCAAAAUUCAGGCUAUUGAAUGUGAUACAAUUCAAUCUCACAUGGAUAUGCCUUUUUCAAGAUAGUUUUCCAUUAGGGGUUGUGCAAAUGAGCAUGACUAAUGGAAAAAAUCUUAGGUGCCAGAAUUAGGAGCAGGUGCAUGAGCAAGUGUACGUUUGGGAGUGGGGAAGCAAAUACUUUAGAAACACGUUAGCAUAGAAGAAGUUCAGAAGCAAUUGUGGAUUCAAUAAUCCAAGAAGGUUCUGAAGCUGGUGCAUCACCCAAGGUAGAGGAUUCCAGCUACUAAGGAAAAAAUACAUUAUUUAUGUCGAUGGACAAUAUAAUGAAUGAAUGAAUACAUUAGAAUGAAAAUAAAUGUUUUGACAUGACAUAAAUAGCACCAAGUAUGGUUGGAGUGAAUUCAUUGAUACAUUUAUCUAAUAGAAUAGACUACGAUUGUAUGUUUCUGAUAUGUGUUUGCAAGCAUGUGAAGACCUAGUGAAAAGCAUUAUUGAUCUCAGGAAAUCAGUUAGGAUACCAAACAUAAAAUUUAAUAUGUUUACUUAGGGCUACUAGCGAAUUGAGUGCAUACUUUGAGACUACAAAAGGCAUGCUAGUUUCUUUUAAUAAGGUGGAUGGUGUGUUGUAAGUUAAAAUGGAAAAUGUUGCACACCAUUUAUUAGAAAGGAGCAUAGUUUUAUGCCAAGCAAUCGAGGUUUUUAAAUAUCGUAAGGUAGAGUCAUCACAGUUCUUUCAUUGGACGGGACUCCUCGCAUGUCGACACUUAAGAUGGUGGAUGUCCCAUUGCAUCUUGGUCCAUUUUCCAACUCGUCCCACCCUAAGGCUUGAGACGGUAGGGAGCCACAUUGUCCCACUGCUAUGGUUGCACAAAUUCUUUCAAUUUAUGGUCAAGGUAUCAAAUGCAGCUUUAGUAAAAAUUUAUCAGGUUUUCAUCAAAUAAUGGUCAAAAAGAAGCUUAGCAGUGAUGCAUGUUUAAAUUACAGAAACUACUUAAGAUCCUAGAAAUGGGUAAUGAAAGACACAAAAUUCCUCAAGAUUGACAUCUCUUCACUAGAUCUGAAGAGGGUUGCGCAAAUGUUACGAUACUAAAAGGAGGCAGUAUAGGGAUUGUUAAAGAUUACAAAGCUAGAGGCAAGUAACAUUGAAACACAUUGGAGACAAUCUUAACUGUGAUUGCAUCCUAUGGAGGGUAGCUAUUGCAAAAUAAUCAAUAUUUGGGCCAUUUUUGUUAGAUAUACGGUUUCAAAGAAGGCUAUCAUUGAAUAGCUAUCCCACCAAAAAAAUCAUCAAAUGUCAACAAUUAGAUUCCCAUGAUCAUCGUCGCUAGUUAAUUGAUUAGAGUAUUGUUAAUCUAGCUAGAAAGGAAAAUCAAAAUUAAAAACAAACAAAAACAAAAACAUGAAGUAUAGCAACUCAACAAAAUAUAAACAUGAUAUAGGCCAUGUCAAUGGGUGACCAAGAUUGAGAGGAACUAAGAUUGUGAUUUACCCUAAUUGAGAUGGAAUAUGGUGAAAUUUUGCACAGUACUAAGAUUUUCCAAGAUUGUAGUGAUAUAUAGGAAGCAAGAUGUCAAUAUAAUAAUAAAACAAAUAUUAAGCAUUGUUUAAGUUGUGUUUUUGAUAUAUAUUUGUUAUGAAUACUAAUUUAAGGUAGAAAAGAUUGGAAAAUCUUGAUCGAUGAAUUGACAUGUCAAGUGCUUACAUGUCCAAAUAUAUCGGUUCAGAUAAUAAGAGUCAAGAUUUUAGAUAUAUCAUGUUAAUGAGUGCAAGAUGACUCAAGUAAUAUAUAUUUUGGCAAAGAUGGAAACCUUUUAUAAAAGGAAACUUGAGAUAAUGGCUUAAAAUAACCAACAAUUCAAAUAUUUUAAGAAAGUUUUCCCUCUAGAAUGGAAUUUCCUUAUCUAGAGCAAGGUACGCCAUCUUGGUAAUGGCCCAAUAUCGGUGCCACUCUAUUACUAUGUCAGUAUACCCAGUAUGUGGGCCUGUUUGGCAUACCGAGUGUCCAUAAACCCCCCAUACCGCUACUGAUAUCAAACCAAUAUGGUACGCCUUGUACCGCCCAUUUCGACAUGGUAUGGUGUACCUCGACCUAUAGAUUUUCUUUUGGUGGAAGCAAUCUGGAUUUCCAUGGGAAGCGAUUGCAGUCCCAAGAUCGAUGGGAGAUGCAAGGGCAUAGAUCCCAUUUGAUGCCCCUCAUAUAUCUCACUAGCUAGCAUGCUAAUAGGGGAACUAGAGAAAUUCAUGGUGUUUCAAUGGAUAAGAAAUGUGUCCCCCCAUCUCUCAUCCAUAUAAGGUCUGCAGGCUCUACCUGUGGAAACUUAGACCCUUUCCUUAUUUUUUUGGGUAAAAUUGUUGCAUUUUGGAAAUGGUAUUCUAAAUUUACUAGGCCUCUUGUUUCAAGACUUCUCCUAUUAUCUUUACUUGUAAUUUUGUUCUUUAAUGUUCUUAUGACUCCUAGACUUAAUGUGCCAAAUUUCUGCCUUUAUUUCAAUCAUGUGAUUGACAUGGUGUCUUAGUUAUAUUGAGAUAAUGAUAAUGUUUUCUAGCGGUGAUCAGCCUCUAUUUAUCUAGAAUCAGCCAUAGUCGUAUAAUUAACCAGCCAAUCAGCCAGUUGCCUUCCCAAAACAAAUGGUACAUUUUGAGCAAUAAACACUUACAAUGAUGCCAAUAUCUAUACCUACACCAUAAUCAGUAAACAUGUAAUCCAAGAAAUUAUUGUUAGUCAAAUUAUACAAGCUCAAAAGUCCACAUGACUAGAAGGAGACCUUCCCAAGCUGCCUGAACUCCACAAGAGCUACUGAUGAGAAGUAUUGAUUGCAUGCGGUUAUGACAUAACCAAAAUGUUGUGCAAAAUAAAUAGGGCACUAGCAUUCCUUGUCCUUGACCUUGACAGAAGGCAUUAUCAAUACUUACCUUAAUAACAUCCACCUUUGGAAGUAACAACCAAGAGAAUUCAAGGAUUAAGAGCUUGGGAGGCCAUUCGAACCAGGAUUACCCUAUCAGUAAAUGCAUUGAAUUGAGGGCAUCGGACAAUUAGUGGUAUCCAAAUUGGCAACUUCAUGGAGAUUGUUGACAAGAAUAUAGCUACUUCAGCCACUUUCUUCAUAUUAAUAGCCAUGUGCUAGAAGACCUUCCCAUUAUGGGCAAACCAUCGACUCUAGUCCACAAAGAAAAGUUUGCAACCAUGUCACUUCUCCUACGUAUGAGAAGUCAGGCAGGCCCUCAGUAUUUUGCAGUCUGUGAACCCUCCCCAAGAUGGUUAAGAAAAUUAUCCCAUCCCAUCCUGUUUUCACAAAGUUUUACGAAACCAUGAAAUGACUGAUAUCCUCAGUUUGAUAUGGGGACAAGUCAUAACAGGAAGAAGUAUUAAGAAGUCCACAAACAUUGAGGAUCAAUUUACAAGGCAGUUACCUUCCACCAAAAAUGUUGUAAAUGAGGCAGUUGCCUUCAUCUUCUACAUCUAGACAAUAUACUCUGAAAUGCCAUAGGUGAUGCCUUUACAAGCCAAGAAAGUUUCCUUGACAAAGAUCUUGAUAUGGUAAUUAUUCCCAAAGUAGAGUCAAUUCACCUAACAAGCUACAGAUUUUAAAAUAUAGGUGACAGAUAAGAUCAACAUUGGAGGGUAAAGGGUGUGUAUGAGUGCAGCCAAUUUAGCUCCCAUUCAAUACCAGUAUUUAUUAAGACCAAAGUUAUCAUCCACCAAGUUGAUAUCAAGGGGGGCUAAAAACAAAAAGGAAUGUUGGAGAGCUUACAUUGAUAACUUUGGGUAAAUAAUUGGGCCUAGACUUGACCUGACUCCAUCAUUUUCAGAGGUUAUGCAUGGGUGCCAUUGGCUUAUACCCAAAGCUUGAGAGAUUCAGCAAGAUGCUGCCUUACACCUUUCCCAUGAGUGCAUGUUGUCAAGAUCUAAAGGCCAGGACUACGAGGCCACCUCCUACAGGUUUGCAUAAUUUGUCUAAUGCUAGGAGGUGGAGUUUCAUAUUCUUGACAGCAUGUUCCCACAAGAAAGGCCUGUUAUACCUCUCCAACUUCUUAGUAAAGAGACUCCUCAAUUGGAUAGUAGAUAAAUUAGAGAGAAAGCAAGGACAAACCAUAGGAUAUUCAACUUUGAUGAGAGAAGAAAUGAUUUAGUUGUUUGGGAUCGAAGAUCUCGAGUUAGAUUUUGUCUUUUCAGAAUCUGAUUGUUUUUGUUCUAUAAUUUUUUUUUAAUGUUUAAGAAUAAUUUAGUUGAUGCAUUCUAAGGUUCAAAUCAUGAUAUGUUAUUUAUAUUCAAAACUAUGAUUAGUUUGUCUAUAAAGGUGGGAGAAUUUCUUGAGUUGUUACAUUCAACUAGUGGACAAGGAAUACAACUUUGUUUGUUCAAAAAAUUUGUAUUUCAAACCUUAUAAAGAUAAUGUUAAUGAUGAUAGUAUACUAUGCAAGGAUCACUAAUUUGGAACUGGAUCCGUACCGGCUAGCUGAUGGUACGAGUUGGUACGCCCCUGUACCUGAUCAGACUCGAACCGACACAAAAAAUGAGGGAUGAAUCAGGGAGGAAAAGAGAGAGGGAGGGAAAGAAAGAGAGAACGGUGGAGACACCGGCGGUGGCUACCGAAAGGUUGCCAAGGCCUCUUAGGCUCCGCAGUCCUCCAUGAUAGAAAAUGCAAGAAGAGAGAGAGAGAGAGAGAGGAAGGGAGGGGAGGGAGUAGAAGGCAGUAGGGAGGCCGUCGGGUGGCCGCUGAACGGCCCAAAAUAGCCUCACACCCGCCGCAAGCUCGAAACAAGGGUUUACCCCUAUUUCGUUAUGUUUCUUAAAACAUAUGAUACAUAGUGAAACUUGCAAUGGGAGUAAAGCCAGCAAACUCAUUGUCAACUUCAAUGUAUAUCGUAUUUUUUAAAAAAAUAUGAUGAAACAGGGGAAAACCCUUAUUUCGAACCUACAGCGGCCGAGAGUCUAUUUUGGGCCGUCUGACGACCAUCCGGCAACCUCCCUGCUGCCUUCCGCUCCCUCCUCUUCUCUCUUCCCCUCUCUCUCUCAAUCUUUCUCUCUUCUCACAUUUCGUGAAGGGUCGGAAGUCCUGGAGGCCUCGGUGGCCAUUGUCGGCCUUUCCUUUUCCUUCCCUCCUCUCCUCUCUUUUCCUCUUUCCUUCUCCUUUGCUCCAUCUUCGCUAGCAUUCCGAAUCGAGCACCUAAAUUGCAUCGAUUAGCCAUCGAUACGAUUUGCAAUGCCCCAAAAUCCCCAAUUCGGGAUAGUUCGACAUGAUGCGAAAAUUUUGUGCAAGGGCAAAAUGGUAAUUUUAAAACUUUUUCAAAAUUACUAUUUUACAGCNNN